GACGAACGCUGGCGGCGUGCUUAACACAUGCAAGUCGAACGGAAAGGCCCUGCUUUUGUGGGGUGCUCGAGUGGCGAACGGGUGAGUAACACGUGAGUAACCUGCCCUUGACUUUGGGAUAACUUCAGGAAACUGGGGCUAAUACCGGAUAGGAGCUCCUGCUGCAUGGUGGGGGUUGGAAAGUUUCGGCGGUUGGGGAUGGACUCGCGGCUUAUCAGCUUGUUGGUGGGGUAGUGGCUUACCAAGGCUUUGACGGGUAGCCGGCCUGAGAGGGUGACCGGGCACAUGGGGACUGAGGUACGGCCCAGACUCCUACGGGAGGCAGCGGUGGGGAGUAUUGCACAAUAGGCGGAAGCCUGAUGCAGCAGCGCCGCGUGCGGGAUGACGGCCUUCGGGUUGUAAACCGCUUUCGCCUGUGACGAGGCGUGAGUGACGGUAAUGGGUAAAGAAGCACAGGCUAACUACGUG
rnacentral:rRNA from 1 species